AGGUCGAGUAGACCAAGGCGCUUGAGAGAACUCUGCUGAAGGAACUAGGCAAAAUGGUACCGUAACUUCGGGAGAAGGUACGCUGUUGUUGGUGAUGGAACUCGCUUCCUGAGCUGACGACAGCCGCAGAAACCAGGCCGCUGCAACUGUUUAUUAAAAACAUAGCACUCUGCAAACACGAAAGUGGACGUAUAGGGUGUGAUGCCUGCCCGGUGCUGGAAGGUUAAUUGAUGGGGUUAGCGUAAGCGAAGCUCUUGAUCGAAGCCCCAGUAAACGGCGGCCGUAACUAUAACGGUCCUAAGGUAGCGAAAUUCCUUGUCGGGUAAGUUCCGACCUGCACGAAUGGCAUAAUGAUGGCGGCGCUGUCUCCAGCAGAGGCUCAGUGAAAUCGAAAUCGCUGUGAAGAUGCAGUGUACCCGCGGCUAGACGGAAAGACCCCGUGAACCUUUACUGCAGCUUGACACUGAACUUUGACCUUACUUGUGUAGGAUAGGUGGGAGGCUUUGAAGCUGGAACGCUAGUUCCAGUGGAGCCGUCCUUGAAAUACCACCCUGGUAAUGUUGAGGUUCUAACUCUGUCCCGUGAUCCGGGACGAGGACCGUGUCUGGUGGGUAGUUUGACUGGGGCGGUCUCCUCCUAAAGAGUAACGGAGGAGUACGAAGGUGCGCUCAGCGUGGUCGGAAAUCACGCGUAGAGUAUAAAGGCAAAAGCGCGCUUAACUGCGAGACCCACAAGUCGAGCAGGUACGAAAGUAGGUCUUAGUGAUCCGGUGGUUCUGUAUGGAAGGGCCAUCGCUCAACGGAUAAAAGGUACUCUGGGGAUAACAGGCUGAUACCGCCCAAGAGUUCAUAUCGACGGCGGUGUUUGGCACCUCGAUGUCGGCUCAUCUCAUCCUGGGGCUGAAGCAGGUCCCAAGGGUAUGGCUGUUCGCCAUUUAAAGAGGUACGCGAGCUGGGUUUAGAACGUCGUGAGACAGUUCGGUCCCUAUCUACCGUGGGCGCUGGAAAUUUGAGAGGAUCUGCUCCUAGUACGAGAGGACCAGAGUGGACGAACCUCUGGUGUACCGGUUGUGACGCCAGUCGCAUCGCCGGGUAGCUAUGUUCGGAAGGGAUAACCGCUGAAAGCAUCUAAGCGGGAAGCCUACCUCAAGAUAAGAUUUCCCUAGGACUUUAUGUCCUCUAAAGAGCCGUUCGAGACUAGGACGUUGAUAGGUUGGAUGUGGAAGCAUAGUGAUAUGUGAAGCUGACCAAUACUAAUUGCUCGUGAGGCUUGACUAU
rnacentral:rRNA from 1 species